GUUCCACUAGAGGAAGCCAUGAAAAACAAAAACAAAAAAGAAAAAAACAGAGAGAAACAGAGAAGUAACGAGAUUGAUUGAUUAGUUAAUAAAAUGAGUGAAUUUGGAUAUGUGGGUAUUGUUGAAUAUUGGGGUUAAAUCAUGAAACGUAGUAUAAAAAGUAAAGGAAAACAACGGAGAAGGAUUGAACGAGGAAUGUGGAGUUAAGUAUAAUCAUACAACCAGAAGGGAGGAUGUGUUCAGUGAGAAUUAGAUGCAUGAAUUUCAAACAUCAAGAACAGAGUAUUGAACAUGAAGAAGAAGAAGAAGAAGA
rnacentral:misc_RNA from 1 species